rnacentral:rRNA from 1 species
AUUGAACGCUGGCGGCAUGCUUUACACAUGCAAGUCGAACGGCAGCGGGGAGGAGCUUGCUUCUCUGCCGGCGAGUGGCGAACGGGUGAGUAAUACAUCGGAACGUGUCGAGAAGAGGGGGAUAACCACCCGAAAGGGUGGCUAAUACCGCAUAAAUUCUGAGGAAGAAAGCUGGGGACUUAGGAAUAGGCCUAGCGCUUUUUGAGCGGCCGAUGUCGGAUUAGCUAGUUGGUGAGGUAAAGGCUCACCAAGGCGAAGAUCUGUGCGGGUCUGAGAGGAUGAUCCGCCACACUGGGACUGAGACACGGCCCAGACUCCUACGGGAGGCAGCAGUGGGGAAUUUUGGACAAUGGGGGCAACCCUGAUCCAGCCAUGCCGCGUGUAUGAAGAAGGCCUUAGGGUUGUAAAGUACUUUUGUUAGGGAAGAAAAGUCAGCUGUGAAUAAUGGCUGAUACUGACGGUACCUAAAGAAUAAGCACCGGCUAACUACGUG